GCCUGAACUCGAGUAGGGCCCAAGCAAGCCAGGAAGGAGGAGGCAGCCAGAGUGGCCACCACUGUUCUCUGCAGCAGAAGACCCCUUGCUGCCAGGUGAGGAUUGCGUGAGUCAAGCAUGUGGGCCUAGCAUCAAAUGCCUGGAUCACACAUGACCCAGGCUGUGUGAGGGAGGAGAGAAGUACGUACAUGAAGAUCAUCCUUCGUAAGGUGAAUGUGAAAAUAGCACACAUAGCCAGCAACCAUCCUGCCUUGGAUGCCAACCCCCUCACACAGCCCUAUCAAAUGGGAAAUGAGGAGAGCAGCUGGAAUCCCAUUUGAUACCAUCCAGAGCACAAUGGAAACCAAGUAUUCUUCAUCCCUCCCUGAGAAUGGAUGAGGACAAGAAGUCUUGACCAACAAGGCAGGACUCAAAAUAUUCUUCUCUUCCCCCAGCACUACUGCAGCCAUGACCUGUUGAAGGGGAAAGUGUUACUGUGAAGAACUUCAGUGUGCCAACUGGACAAUAACUGCUGUGUUCUAACUCUACAAAUACCUUUUGUAUUACAAGCAAGGCAGCCCUCCCAUUGAUGUGCAGGGCAAUUCUAUGCAUGUUUACUGAAGAGUAAGUCUGACUGAGUAUUCAGUCCUUCCUAAUUUUGCAUUUAGGAUUUCAGCUUAAGUGGAACAGCUGCAGAAACGCUGCGAAGAUCACUAAAACUGAAAAAAUGGCAAGUGGCUAUUAUAGUACAGUAUGUAACAGUGCAGAGGGAACUCAUGCCUGUUCAGAGGAAAAGAGCAGAAGGUUGUUCUACAUCAGUCCUUUGUUUUAUGGGAACUACUACCCUUUUUCAGUACUGCAGUGUAUAUAUGCUUUAUACCAUAAACAGGACUUAUGGGGUCAUAAACUGGAAUUUGUACAUUACUUGAACAAAACUGAAAAAUAAAAGCUUACCAAAAAAGUGCAAUUCCCCCAUCAUCUGCAACUUGAAAGGUAUUUCAGGAGUAGUCAUCAACACAAAUACAUAUCAAAGCAGGCACAUUUUAUCAUUUCAAGGGGAGGGGCCACAGUUCUGUCAUAGUGGACACAGAUCUCAUUCCCUGUCAUCUUCAAUUGACCUGGGCAAGACCUCUGUCAGACUCUGCUGUCAACAUAAACAGUUCAAAGCUAGAUGGACCAAGGGUCCGACUCUGUAUAAGGUACGUUCCUGUGUUCAUUUACAGGGAUGUUCAGGACUCAUAACUGCCACAUCAAACCACCAUUC